rnacentral:rRNA from 1 species
UCUGUAGGUGGCCAACUAAGUCAGACGUGAAAUCCCUCAGCUUAACUGGGGAACUGCGUCUGAUACUGGUCGGCUUGAGUGCGGGAGAGGAACGCGGAAUUCCAGGUGUAGCGGUGAAAUGCGUAGAUAUCUGGAGGAACACCGGUGGCGAAGGCGGCGUUCUGGACUGCAACUGACACUGAGAGACGAAAGCCAGGGGAGCAAACG